UUAUAUUGCUCCGUAAAAUUAUUAAUUAUUGUGAAAUAGAGAAAAACGGGGAAAAAUAGGAUAUGAACAAAUAGGAUGGACAAAUUCCAAACGCAACAAAUUGGAGGAAAUUUUAAUUAACCAUAUAGAGGUACAUUGACUUGAAAAAAGCCACUGAGGAUAAGAUAUGUGGAUCUAGAUUUCGUGGAACUGUACGCAAAAUGCUAAAAUUGAGCAUGCCUCUGACAAUGAAGAGCUUCAUUAUGGAAAGGACAAUUUUUCUUCUUUU